rnacentral:rRNA from 1 species
CCUACGGGAGGCUGCAGUGGGGGAUAUUGCACAAUGGGGGGAACCCUGAUGCAGCGACGCCGCGUGGGUGAGGAAGUACCUCGGUAUGUAAAGCCCUGUCAGCAGGGAAGAAAAUGACGGUACCUGACGAAGAAGCCCCGGCUAACUACGUGCCAGCAGCCGCGGUAAUACGUAGGGGGCAAGCGUUAUCCGGAUUUACUGGGUGUAAAGGGGGCGUAGACGGCGUGGCAAGUCAGGUGUGAAAGGCCGGGGCUCAACCCCGGGACUGCAUUUGAAACUGGCAGGCUGGAGUGCAGGAGGGGCAGGCGGAAUUCCUGGUGUAGCGGUGAAAUGCGUAGAUAUUAGGAGGAACACCGGUGGCGAAGGCGGCUUGCUGGACGGUAACUGACGUUGAGGCUCGAAAGCGUGGGGAGCAAACAGGAUUAGAUACCCGUGUAGUC